UUAUCGGUCUCUUCGUUUGUUCUUCCUUUCGUUUCCCACUUUGUGAGUCCAUCGAACCACCACUUCGAGAUCUGCAAGCAUUAAAGAACACAACCCAUAAACGUUUAUUAGAAUAAUUGCUACAAUGCACGUGAUGAAACUUAAUUGUAAAAAAACAUAUAUGAAUGGAACAAGAAUGGUUUGACUUUGACUGUAGAUAGCAACUAAAUUACAACAUAACCUAUAUAUGGUAUGUAUCUAAUACUGACUAACAAAGUAUGCAAGUACAACCAGGGACACCCUUUAUACCAGAAAUGUAACUUCUAGCAACCUUAAAACAAAUGUGAGAUGAAAUAUAAGUCAUAAGAUGAAAGAUACAUAACCUAAAACAAUUUCAUUAAAACAGAGGGAGUAUAUAAUAUUUCUCUUUAAGACUAAACACACUAAGUUGAAUCAAAUGAAGGCAUCACCUGAGUUAGCAUUCACACACAGAUCGACAAGCUGCAAAACAAAGAAUCAAGCCAAUCAAUGCAUGAUUUUGGGUCAAUUAUAAAAUUAACGACCAUAGCUAAACAUGGUGUAGAAUAUCACCAAUCAAUGCAUGAUUUUGGGUCGAUUCUUGAUUAUUUCAUCAAUAAUUGCAAAUUAUUGAGCAUAUUAAGGUUUACACAUGAUAUAUAUAUAUUAACAUCAACCUAAAAAUCCAUUACCCAUAAACACCGGUAUGGCGGUUUAUGUAUAAUCUGAGUAAAAGAUCGAAAGAACAUAAAAACUCACAAGGACCUUGAAGUAGAUGUAAUCAUGGGCGUUGAAGCACCUUCAUAAAGAUGAAUAUAGUACCAAUUAUUGAUUGAAAAAUGGAAAUUUUCAAACUUCAUGGUUGGAUUCACAAAACAACCACCAUGCUUUUUUUNGAUAAAUUGGUUGGGCUAAAGUGACAAUGAAACAAACAGGUUGGGAGCACGUUGAAACUUAUCCAAAGUGUAAUCUAAUACUUACAAUCUCUUGAAAUGAUACACGAAAUUGUAAAUUUAAAUACCGAUAUUAUGAUUUCGAUAUAUCUAAGUCGGAAAUGAGAUACACGAACUUGUGGAUUUGUUAAUAGGAAAAGGGAAAAUGUCAUCUUAUCCUAACGAACUUGUCAAGUUGGUUUUAAAAGGUCACCCAAUUAAUCUUUUUUGUACAUUAAGGGAACGACAUAUACAUUGACCAGUUGAAAUGGUCCCUUGACCUGUAAUAAAAAGUUUCUAUGACAAAUCAGUAAAAAAAAACGGUGAGGUGGCUGCCUAGUCACAGCUGAUGUGGCAAUUGACUCUGGUCCACAGUCAACCCUUGUUCCCCAAGAUUGGACACCCCCUUAUAUAAAUAAAGCGAUGUCCUAAUGAGUUUAUCACGCCCACUUUGUUACCCUUAUCGGUCUCUUCGUUUGUUCUUCCUUUCGUUUCCCACUUUGUGAGUCCAUCGAACCACCACUUCGAGAUCUGCAAGCAUUAAAGAACACAACCCAUAAACGUUUAUUAGAAUAAUUGCUACAAUGCACGUGAUGAAACUUAAUUGUAAAAAAACAUAUAUGAAUGGAACAAGAAUGGUUUGACUUUGACUGUAGGUAGCAACUAAAUUACAACAUAACCUAUAUAUGGUAUGUAUCUAAUACUGACUAACAAAGUAUGCAAGUACAACCAGG
rnacentral:lncRNA from 1 species